AUAGAGAUGUGGAGGAACACCAGUGGCGAAGGCGACUCUCUGGUCUGUAACUGACGCUGAGGAGCGAAAGCGUGGGGAGCGAACAGGAUUAGAUACCCUGGUAGUCCACGCCGUAAACGAUGAGUGCUAAGUGUUAGGGGGUUUCCGCCCCUUAGUGCUGCAGCUAACGCAUUAAGCACUCCGCCUGGGGAGUACGGUCGCAAGACUGAAACUCAAAGGAAUUGACGGGGGCCCGCACAAGCGGUGGAGCAUGUGGUUUAAUUCGAAGCAACGCGAAGAACCUUACCAGGUCUUGACAUCCUCUGACAAUCCUAGAGAUAGGACGUCCCCUUCGGGGGCAGAGUGACAGGUGGUGCAUGGUUGUCGUCAGCUCGUGUCGUGAGAUGUUGGGUUAAGUCCCGCAACGAGCGCAACCCUUGAUCUUAGUUGCCAGCAUUCAGUUGGGCACUCUAAGGUGACUGCCGGUGACAAACCGGAGGAAGGUGGGGAUGACGUCAAAUCAUCAUGCCCCUUAUGAC
rnacentral:rRNA from 1 species